UCACCAGCUUUAAAAAAUCGUGUCUACGUGCAAUUUAUGUAUAGUUGACCGGGAAAUUAAAGCAGCGAUCACUUGGACUAUUCCGCAGCACCCCUCUCACAUUGGUACAUCCCCCCAGGUAUUCAUUGUCUUCUACAGUAGAGCGGGACAUUUGAUUUACUCUCAGCGGAAUUGACCGGAGAAGGCAUCAGUUCAUGCACUGCACUGGCCCGCACCAUGAUUAGUAUAAGGCACAUUUCACGAAGCAGAACGCAGUCUUCAGAGAUAUCCACGUGAACGCUGUGAUACGUCUGACCUUCAGUCCGAAGCUGAAACUCAGACCAGUCUUAAAAGAAAGCACAAACCAAAUCCCCUGUACACAUAUACGGACUCAGAGGAUGAGCAGCCUACAAAAAAACGGUUUCCCCAGGCCCCUCGAGUGAAAAUACCAGCCCUCAUCACUCCGCAGUCUGCCCCCCAGCCCACUGAUAGCAACCAUCAUAAUGCCCCACCCAGCUCCCGGCACCUUUCGCCACUCCGGCACAAACCGACACAGCUUUGCGAUCUCCCCAGCAUGCAGAGUCUGAUGUCUUCCCUAUAGAUGAUUCCAGAGACUCUGUGAGGCCACUAUUGCAAGGUGAGACGCUUUGCGUUGAUUGGUGCUGCUGAACCACACUGGAGGUGCGAGUCCGCCGUGUAAUGGUUUAUGCCAUUACAAAGGAGCUGGCCUCUGUACUCAACUGGGCAGGGGAAAAAAAACCAAGGACCAGACAAAGCAAAAAAGGGCAUUUAAAGAGACAGCACUGUGCAGAUGCAUAUUUGAUGGCCUGGCGCAGCAGGUAGGGGCGAACUCUGUCUGAGUUGGUCUUUGCUCAAGCAGUCCAGAAAUGGCUCAGAUAUGAUCCAGAUCGUACGGGUGGCGCGCAGGACGCCCAUCAUCCAUCCCCAUCCCGGAGUAAAUAAUAAAAAGUGACGUGAAACAUAGAAAUGUAAAUAGGAAACUUUGUCUUUUAAUAAAGUACUUUGCAAAUGA